CGCUAGCGGCAGGCUUAAUACAUGCAAGUCGUGGGGCAGCGCAGGUAGCAAUACUGGGCGGCGACCGGCAAACGGGUGCGGAACACGUACGCAACCUUCCUUUAAGCGGGGAAUAGCCCAGGGAAACUUGGAUUAAUACCCCAUAAUACUUUUGAGUGGCAUCACUUGAUAGUUAAAGCUCCGGCACUUAAAGAUGGGCGUGCGGCUGAUUAGGUAGUUGGCGGAGUAACAGCCCACCAAGCCAACGAUCAGUAACUGGUGUGAGAGCACGACCAGUCACACGGGCACUGAGACACGGGCCCGACUCCUACGGGAGGCAGCAGUAAGGAAUAUUGGUCAAUGGACGCAAGUCUGAACCAGCCAUGCCGCGUGGAGGAUGAAGGCCCUCUGGGUUGUAAACUUCUUUUAUUUGGGAAGAAACCCACUUUUUCUAGGGUGGUUGACGGUACCAGAUGAAUAAGCACCGGCUAACUCCGUGCCAGCAGCCGCGGUAAUACGGAGGGUGCAAGCGUUAUCCGGAUUCACUGGGUUUAAAGGGUGCGUAGGUGGGCAGGUAAGUCAGUGGUGAAAUCUCUGGGCUUAACCCAGAAACUGCCGUUGAUACUAUCUGUCUUGAAUGUAGUGGAGGUGAGCGGAAUAUGUCAUGUAGCGGUGAAAUGCUUAGAUAUGACAUAGAACACCAAUUGCGAAGGCAGCUCGCUACACUAUUAUUGACACUGAGGCACGAAAGCGUGGGGAUCAA
rnacentral:rRNA from 1 species